rnacentral:rRNA from 1 species
GAUGAACGCUGGCGGCGUGCCUGAGAUAUGCAAGUCGAGCGGGAAUUAUUGAAGUCGCAAGACGGAUAUAAUUUCAGCGGCGGACGGCUGAGUAACACGUAAGAAUUUUCCCCAAAGUCUCACACAGCUCACCGAAAGGUGGGGUAAUUUGAGAUGGUCUGUCCCGAUUUAUCGGGAUUGUAAAGCCGCAAGGCGCUUUGGGAUAAGCUUGCGUCCUAUCAGGUAGUUGGUGAGGUAAUGGCUCACCAAGCCUACGACGGGUAGCUGGCCUCAUGAGGGUGGUCAGCCAGAGGGGGACUGAGACACGGCCCCCACUCCUACGGGAGGCAGCAAUCAGGAAUAGUCGGCAAUGGACGAAAGUCUGACCGCGCGACGCCGCGUGUAGGAUGAAGCUUCACAAGAGUGUAAACUACUGUGGUAGGGGAAAAGAAAGGAUGGUACCCUACUAGAAAGCAGCCGCUAACUGCGUGCCAGAAGCGUCGGUAAUACGUGGGCUGCGAGCGUUAUCCGGUGUCAUUGGGCGUAAAGAGUCGUGUAGGUGGGUAUAUAAGUCACCUUUUAAAGCUCUGGGCUCAACCCAGAAAAUUGAGGUGAUACUGUAUGUCUUGAGGUUCCUUUAGGGAGAACGGAAUUGUGGGAGGAGUAGUGAAAUGCGUUGAUACCCACGAGAACUCCAGUGGCGAAGGCGGUUCUCUGGAAGGAUCCUGACACUGAGACACGAAAGUUAGGGGAGCGAAGCAGAUUAGAGACCUGCGUAGUCCUAACUGUAAACGAAUGUAUGCUGGCUGCAUGAGGUUAGCACAAAAUACUACAAAUAUUCAAGAUUCUAUUUCAAGAUUCAUGUAAUUUUCAAUAGUCAAUUUAGAUUGUUAAUUGACCAUUACUUGACACUUGUUAUUGAUAAUUGUCAAUUUGUGUUUUUUGUGCUGAUCUCGUGUGGCGAAGGUAACCCGUUAAGCAUACCGCCUGGGGAGUACGGCCGCAAGGUUGAAACUCAAAGGAAUUGGCGGGGAGGCACACAACCAGAGGAACAUGUGGUUUAAUUCGACACAAAACGAAGAACCUUACCAAGGCUUGACAUGCUAGCGUUCUAUUUCCUGGAAACAGGAGAAAUCCGCAAGGAGGCUAGCACCGGUGAUGCAUGGCUGUCGUCAGUUCGUUCCGUGAGGAGUGCCCUUAAGUGGGACAACGAACGCAACCCCUGUCGUCUGUUAUAAGUGUCAGACGAUACUGCCCUACAGUUUUGUGGGGAGGAAGGCGGGGCAGACGUCAAGUCAGCACGUCCCUUAUGUCUUGGGCUACACACAUGUUACAAUGGACCAUAACAAUGAGCAUUGCAAGCCAGCGAUGGCAAGCUAAUCUCUCAAAUUGGUCCUCAGUGGGGAUUGGAGUCUGCAACUCGACUCCAUGAACUUGGAUUUGGUAGUAAUCGCGGGUCAGCUAUACCGCGGUGAAUACGUUCUUGCCUCUUGCACACACCGCCCGUCAAACCAACAAAGUCGGAGAUAUAUGAACUGCGGCGCAUGCCGUGGGAGUAUAUAGUCGGCGAUGAGGGUU